GACGAACGCUGGCGGCGUGCUUAACACAUGCAAGUCGAACGGAAAGGCCCUGCUUUUGUGGGGUGCUCGAGUGGCGAACGGGUGAGUAACACGUGAGUAACCUGCCGUUGACGUUGGGAUAACUUCAGGAAACUGGGGCUAAUACCGGAUAGGAGCGCCUGCUGCAUGGUGGGGGUUGGAAAGUUCCGGCGGUUGGGGAUGGACGCGCGGCUUAUCAGCUUGUUGGUGGGGUAGUGGCUUACCAAGGCUUUGACGGGUAGCCGGCCUGAGAGGGUGACCGGCCACAUUGGGACUGAGAUACGGCCCAGACUCCUACGGGAGGCAGCAGUGGGGAAUAUUGCACAAUGGGCGGAAGCCUGAUGCAGCAACGCCGCGUGCGGGAUGACGGCCUUCGGGUUGUAAACCGCUUUCGCCUGUGACGAAGCGUGAGUGACGGUAAUGGGUAAAGAAGCACCGGCUAACUACGUG
rnacentral:rRNA from 1 species